AGCGAACGCUGGCGGCAGGCCUAACACAUGCAGGUCGAACGGAUCCUUCGGGAUUAGUGGCGGACGGGUGAGUAACACGUGGGAACGUGCCCUUUGGUUCGGAACAACUCAGGGAAACUUGAGCUAAUACCGGAUGUGCCCUUCGGGGGAAAGAUUUAUCGCCAUUGGAGCGGCCCGCGUCUGAUUAGCUAGUUGGUGAGGUAAAGGCUCACCAAGGCGACGAUCAGUAGCUGGUCUGAGAGGAUGAUCAGCCACAUUGGGACUGAGACACGGCCCAAACUCCUACGGGAGGCGGCAGUGGGGAAUCUUGCGCAAUGGGCGAAAGCCUGACGCAGCCAUGCCGCGUGAAUGAUGAAGGUCUUAGGAUUGUAAAAUUCCUUCACCGGGGACGAUAAUGACGGUACCCGGAGAAGAAGCCCCGGCUAACUUCGUGCCAGCAGCCGCGGUAAUAC
rnacentral:rRNA from 1 species